AAAUCCCAGAAAAAUUAAAACCCCUUUGUCUCCCAUUUGUUCACAUCACAAACCAAAGAGAGCCUAAACCCUUGUGAAGUGAAAAAGAUCGUUUAUUGUGUUCUUCGUCGUCUCUUCGUCUUCUUCUCUACCGAUCCAACAAUGCUAAUCUCCGGUGAACCUCCGUCGCGUACUCUUUAAUCUGCCGUCGUUUCUCUUCCUUUCCCCCCUCCGAUUCCUUCAUU
rnacentral:lncRNA from 1 species